CCCAGUUCGGAUUGUAGUCUGCAACCCGACUACACGAAGCUGGAAUCGCUAGUAAUCGCAGGUCAGCAUACUGCGGUGAAUACGUUCCCGGGUCUUGUACACACCGCCCGUCACACCAUGGGAGCCGGAAAUGCCCGAAGCCAGUGACCCAACCUUAGGGAGGGAGCUGUCGAAGGUGGAGCCGGUAACUGGGGUGAAGUCGUAACAAGGUAAC
rnacentral:rRNA from 1 species